GAUGAAGAACGCAGCGAAAUGCGAUAAGUAGUGUGAAUUGCAGAAUUCAGUGAAUCAUCGAAUCUUUGAACGCACAUUGCGCCCUUUGGUAUUCCUUAGGGCAUGCCUGUUCGAGCGUCAUUUCAACCCUCAAGCCCUGCUUGGUGUUGGACGGUUUGGCGGAGGCCCUCCGGGGCCCUUGCCCCUCCCAAAGACAAUGACGGCUGCCUCGUUGGACCCCCGGUACACUGAGUUCUUUACGGGACACGUACUGGAGUAAGGGUGCACGGGGCACGGUCUGCCUCCCCUCAGGGAGAAUCUUUUUUUACAAGGUUGACCUCGGAUCAGGUAGGGAUACCCGCUGAACUUAAGCAUAUCAAUAAGCGGAGGA
rnacentral:misc_RNA from 1 species